AGCACAGUGCCUGAUAACUGUAUUACAUCAUAUUGCUAUAAUUGUUCCAUUUUAUUAUUAGUUGUUUAAUCUCAUCGUGCCUAAUUUAUAAAUUAAAUGUAAUCAUAGGUAUGUAUGUAUAGAAAAAAGCAUAGUACUGUAUAUAUAGCGUUCAGUACUAUUUCAGUCAUCCCCUGAGGGUCUUGGAACAUAUCGCCCACAGAUAAGGGGGGACUGCGGAUAAUCCCCAGUUUAUGGUGGUUCGACUUAUGACUUUGUGACUUUACAGUGGUGCAAAAGUGGUAAGAAUUCAGCAUUCUCCUCGACAAGUGGACGAGCAUCUACUGUGCUUUCACAGCGGCUAUCACUAUUGCCAGCAGCAAGACUGUCAGCUCGGCGCCCUCGUCUGGUUGGAUGGGAAACUGCAGUUGCUAAGGGAGCUGGGUUUGUAAGGAGCCGGCCAGGGUUGCAGGGUGGCUUAGCUGUGAUUUGGGAGUAAUGCCUUGUGCCUCUGCUUACUGUCUCCUCUCUUGCACUCCUAUGUUGCAGGAAUCUCUGAGGACAAAUGGGAAUUCUCACUGAUUUCUAGGACUACCCUGGGGCAGAGAUGGAGUUUCAUCACAUUGCCUAGGCUGGUCUCGAAAUCCUGGACUCAAGUGAUCUGCUGGCCUCAGCCUCCCUAACUGCUGGGACUAGAGGCCUGAGCGACCACCCCUGGCUGUAAACAUUUUCUUAGCUCAAGGAUUGCUGAAUUUGUAUCCAUUUUCUUCUCUCCUAUCUCAAUUGGGCACCCUGCACAGCAAUACACACUGAACAAUGUCGAGUUUCUGCUGAAUAGACUUCCUACGUUGCUCUGGAAUUCGAAGUUGGCCUAACUGAGGUCUCCAGUUACAGAAAACACUGGCUCUGUAUCCUGGGCUUUGAGAAAACUUAUCAGGCUGUCACACUUACCAUCCCUUCAGUCUGCUUGUCAGGUUCCUUAAGGACGCAUAUCUCAAAUGUAUGGCAUCUACCUCUACCUGGGUCACAACCAAGUGGGUUUCUACUAGAUCGGUGUUCCUUGACAGCCAACAAGGGAGCUGACACUGCCCUCCUAAGUUCUGAUCUUGCUCCUGUUCAACUGGAA
rnacentral:lncRNA from 1 species